AGCUUUGUGCAGUGGCAGUAUCAUAGCCAAUGAGGUUUAUCCGAGGCGCGAUUAUUGCUAAUUAUUAGUAAAUUAUUAUUGUU
ensembl:snRNA U4 U4 spliceosomal RNA